UUCAAAACCUCUUUCUCUAAAUCCAUUAACUAAUCACAAAUUCAACAUAACAAAAUUGAACUAUAUAUAUAUAUAUACAUGAACUCUCUAUAUAUAUAUAUAUAGAGAGAGAGGGGGGUGAGAGAGAGGUAGAGAGAAUUGUAGAAACCUGAUUUUGAAGAACUACUUUCACAAGAAGAAACUCCAAAAGAAACAGCAUCAGUACUAUCCACAAUUUCCUGGCCAGUGCUUUCGUUUCCGGUACCGAUUUCAUGCUCAACUCUGAUCGAUUGAUCGCUCGAAGAAGAUGAACCGGAAGAAUAACGCCAGCAAUUCUCCGGCAAUUCCGCCAUUAAUUGCCACCGUCGUGUAUGACGCGCGCGGGAAAGUGACUAUCAAUUUGUCGUUAGGGGAGUUUGUUUGGUGAAACCACUAUAUUACUAUAUCUGGUGCUUCCCUUUAUGUAAAAAUCAAACCGGACUGAUUGGACCAAACCGGACCGGAUUAGAUGGUUUAUUGAGUAAAUCAGUUAGUUAGUCAUUGAAAUACUUAUAUUUUCAAAGGAUGUUUAAAUUUAUCAUUAAACAUUUUUUUAAAUUUAAUCACUUAGAUAAUUAUAUUUUAAUAAUUU
rnacentral:lncRNA from 1 species